rnacentral:rRNA from 1 species
CCUACGGGUUGCACCAGUGGGGAAUAUUACACAAUGGGCGCAAGCCUGAUGCAGCCAUGCCGCGUGUAUGAAGAAGGCCUUCGGGUUGUGAAGUACUUUCAGCGGGGAGGAAGGUGUUGUGGUUAAUAACCACAACAAUUGACGUUACCCGCAGAAGAAGCACCGGCUAACUCCGUGCCAGCAGCCGCGGUAAUACGGAGGGUGCAAGCGUUAAUCGGAAUUACUGGGCGUAAAGCGCACGCAGGCGGUCUGUCAAGUCGGAUGUGAAAUCCCCGGGCUCAACCUGGGAACUGCAUUCGAAACUGGCAGGCUAGAGUCUUGUAGAGGGGGGUAGAAUUCCAGGUGUAGCGGUGAAAUGCGCAGAGAUAUGGAGGAACACCAGUGGCGAAGGCGACUUUCUGGUCUGUAACUGACGCUGAGGCGCGAAAGCGUGGGGAGCAAACAGGAUUAGAUACCCCAGUAGUC